GACAGAGGAUGCAAGCGUUAUCCGGAAUGAUUGGGCGUAAAGCGUCUGUAGGUGGCUUUUUAAGUCCGCCGUCAAAUCCCAGGGCUCAACCCUGGACAGGCGGUGGAAACUACCAAGCUGGAGUACGGUAGGGGCAGAGGGAAUUUCCGGUGGAGCGGUGAAAUGCGUAGAGAUCGGAAAGAACACCAACGGCGAAGGCAGGUCACUGGGCAGUUACGUGACACUGAGGCACGAAGGCCAGGGGAGCAAAGCGGG
rnacentral:rRNA from 1 species